rnacentral:lncRNA from 1 species
CCAAUCCAUGAUAAGCAUUACUGAUCUUUCCUUAUUUUCUUUAGGAAUAAGUUUUACUUAAUGAAUAAGAGUUCUCUCUAAGUCUUUCCUAUCACGCCGUAUGAGAUGUGGCAUGAUUAAAGAUGUCUGACCCAUAUCAAGUAUUGACAUAUGGAUCAAGAUAGAGGUUAGGUCUAUGAGACUCAUUUCUCUAGUAUUCUAAAGAGUUUUUAGAAUACUAUAUAUAUUUUUUUUAGAGAAUCACAAUGUGAUUGUGACCCG